rnacentral:rRNA from 1 species
UACGAAGGGUGCAAGCGUUAAUCGGAAUUACUGGGCGUAAAGCGUGCGCAGGCGGUUUUGUAAGACAGAUGUGAAAUCCCCGGGCUCAACCUGGGAACUGCGUUUGUGACUGCAAGGCUAGAGUACGGCAGAGGGGGGUGGAAUUCCACGUGUAGCAGUGAAAUGCGUAGAGAUGUGGAGGAACACCGAUGGCGAAGGCAGCCCCCUGGGCCUGUACUGACGCUCAUGCACGAAAGCGUGGGGAGCAAACAGG